CGACCAACUCUCCGAGUGAGGUCCUCUUUCUCUUUCUUUCUUUCUUUCUUUCUUUCUUUCUUUCUCUCUCUCUCUCUGUGGGGACCCGCGCGCGGAAACCGGAUUGCGUUUUAUGUUCGAAUGCCGGAGUAUUUUUCGACGCGAUAUGUAUGUUACUCGAUACGGGUCCCCCCCAUUUUCUUCGUACACUUUCGCUCGCGGGGGUAUUUUUAGCCGCGGACCGCGUAUUUUUGACAACGGGUCCCGAGAGGUUUGGACCGAUGCCCCUAUUAGAUGCUCUCCAGCAUCCGCUCGGAAAUAAAUUCUUCGAUUUUUAGACGACAUAAAAAGGAGUUUAUAUCCUCUCGACACGCGAGCGAUCAAGAAAUGUUCAGUAUAAAAUGUUCGCGUAGCAACGGAAGGAGGAAAAUGUUGCAUUAGAGCAUAAUAUCGAUUCUUUUAUCUAAAUCCACCGACGUGACAUUACCCGUCCUACAAAGUUUCAAUAUGAUACAAAUUAUUUUCCAUUUAUAUAAUACAUGCUGAAAUAAUAGAUAUCUAUUUGUAAAUCUUGCAUAUUUUUACAUUCCCUAAAUGAUUUUCGCUUCUAAUCUCAAAAAUGAGCAUUUUAAUCGAUUUUGCUAUUAGAGUUAAUAGAUUCAACGCAUUAGAAUAAAGUUCACAGGUGCGAAAACUACCAACAUAUGUCACGAUUGCAUUGCAAUUCUGCAAGUUUGCACAUACGAUGUAGUGCACAUGUGCAAGAUGGAAAGCAAAUCGUAACGGUGAGAGCACAUCAAACGAAGCUCGACGACGUAACCAUCGUACUGCCUUGCGAAAAGCAACCAUAUCAGGUGUUCGACGCCUGGUCUCAUAUUCAAAGGUGCGAUAUAGACGCAACAUGUGACUAGUCGGCGGAAUGGCUGGCAUCACGUUGGACAAAAGAAGCGUUGGAUCGUGCGGCCCUGCAUAUUUGCAUGGGAACAUACCCACAGGAUCCCAACUCGCACAAAGGACGAGAGCGAGAGCCUUUCGCGCACACACUCGCGCGAAUGAUUGCACAUUCGCGCUGUAUACGCUACGAACGCGAACAGUAGUGUAUGUACUCCUCCUGCGUCAGAGAAGGGCGAAAUGGUUCUCGCGGUUUCCUCGUGGGACAGGAUCAGAUCGUUACCCCCUACUUCGUGAGGGAUGUGCGUGGCCUACCCGCCUGGAAACUACGAAGACAGAGGCUUACUUUCCCCCGUUCGCGCCUGUUUUGAGUUCGAAUCAGAUUCACCGAUUCGAGAAUAGAGGAUAUCGGAUCAGGGGGCAAGAAUGCUUUAUGGCUCGCGGAUUUAUCCUGAUAAAGUCAGCUGUUCGCAAACUUGCUCGGAAAAGUAGAUUCCGUGUUCUGAGUUAUAUGAGAUUGCAACAGUACAUACAAGUUCAUGAAUCUUGAAUCAGUCGUUUGCUCAGGUUCAAUUGCGACACUGUCGAUUAUCAUAAUUCAACUUUCCUCUCCGCUCGCACGACCGUAAGCGCUAUUUAUAUACCAUAAUUUAAAAGGCAAAUCACUAUUUUGUUCCUAAUUUUAUACGGUAUCUUUGACUUAAAAUUCUUUCAAAAUAUAUUUAAUUUUUU
rnacentral:lncRNA from 1 species